rnacentral:rRNA from 1 species
GAUGAACGCUAGCGGCAGGCUUAACACAUGCAAGUCGAGGGGCAGCAUAUUUUGUAGUAAUACAAGAUGAUGGCGACCGGCGCACGGGUGCGUAACGCGUAUGCAACCUACCAUAUACAGGGGGAUAAACUUUCGAAAGGGAGCCUAAUACCCCAUAGUAUUAUUUUAAGGCAUCUUGCAAUAAUUAAAGAUUUAUUGGUAUAUGAUGGGCAUGCGUGUCAUUAGCUAGUUGGUAAGGUAACGGCUUACCAAGGCGACGAUGACUAGGGGUUCUGAGAGGAAGAUCCCCCACACUGGUACUGAGACACGGACCAGACUCCUACGGGAGGCAGCAGUGAGGAAUAUUGGUCAAUGGGCGAGAGCCUGAACCAGCCAUGCCGCGUGCAGGAAGACGGCCCUAUGGGUUGUAAACUGCUUUUAUGUGAGGAUAAACCUAUUCUUGCGAGAGUAGCUGGAAGGUAUCACAUGAAUAAGGAUCGGCUAACUCCG